rnacentral:rRNA from 1 species
CCUACGGGAGGCAGCAGUGGGGAAUAUUGGACAAUGGGGGAAACCCUUAUCCAGCGACGCCGCGUGAGGGAAGAAGGUUUUCGGAUUGUAAACCUCUGUCAGCGGGGACGAAAAUGACGGUACCCACGCAGCAGUCCACGGCUACCUCCGUCCCAGCAGCCGCGGUAAUACGUAGGGGGCAAGCGUUGUCCGGAAUUAAUGGGUGUAAAGGGAGCGUAGGCGGGAGGUCAAGUCAGAAGUGAAAAUUAUGGGCUCAACUCAUAACCUGCUUUUGAAACUAAUAUUCUUGAGUGAAGUAGAGGCAAGCGGAAUUCCUGGUGUAGCGGUGAAAUGCGUAGAUAUUUGGAGGAACACCAGUGGCGAAGGCGGCUUGCUGGGCUUUUACUGACGCUGAGGCUCGAAAGCGUGGGGAGCAAACAGGAUUAGAUACCCUAGUAGUC